CGCUUAAUAUGAAUGUUAGAAAAGGACAGCCUCAAACAGAUAAUACAAAAAAAUGAGAUGAAAUUCAUAUUUAGCAGCCUCCAAUACAGUAUGUAUUGUUUGAUGCGAUCCAAAAGAACAAGGAACGCGUGGUCUGCUUUGGGGUUUUUGAUUUACUUUGGUAGAUAUCGUUAACAGAAGCACACGUCUAGUUACCACAAGGAAAGAGGAAAAUACUUACAAAAAGUAAAGUUAGUUAGAACAUUAUAGAUAAAGUUACACUCAGUUCUGUGCUAGUGCAAACAAAAUGCGCAAAGGCUGAGUUUUGUGACGACCCUUUGAUUAAAGGAACGGGGUUGAAAGUGUGUGUAAGCACGUUUUCGGUUCAGGUUAAAAGCCCACCUUGCAACGUGGGUGCGAGUUCGGGGCGGCAUUCGUCCGUAUUGAAAAACUACACGUGAAACUGGACGAAACGAAGACCGCUCAAAACUACGUUUUGGUACGGUAGUCCCACGGACUUGACGAAGCCCUCAGACGGUCGCUGUAGUGUAGUUUCGUUCAGUACCGCCCAGUACAAUAAGUCAAGACAUCGCAGGGACUGAAGCGCCACCCGACGGCAGGUGGAUGAACCCAUCUAGUGACGACACACAACUGUGAUCCGACUUCGUUUACCCUAUUACGUCACCGAGUUGUAUCCGAUGAGAAACCGUUCGAGGUUGGCAAUAAGCUUUGCGAUUACGUCACCGACCCUCCCACUGGGUAUCUGGGAUAAGCUGAGCAGUGGACGUUGGCGGUUAGGAAAACCGGGGAAACUAGCGUAUGCGGUCGACUCCGAAUGCUCCCGAUACGUGUGGAUUACCUGCCAAGCCUACUUGAAUAUAGCCAGAACAAAAAGGUUAGAUUAGACGUAAGACAAUUUUGUACCAUUUAGAAUAGUGACGUCACUCAUAAGACAGGAACCAAAACUAUGAAUAUAAGUGAGAAUGUUACCGCAACAAAAAGUUCAUUAUGUACAGAGGUUCCCCAGCCUAUGUUGACGUUUCUUCCUAGGGUGUGCGGGUUGAUAAAAUCUUUUUGAUCACUCUGAUGCUAGAUAAGGAAUAUCCUCUCAUUAUAGUUUUUUUUUGAUAGGGACUCAACAGCUUCCGUCUCUAUUGUGGGUACGCUAAUUUGGAUUCGGGUGU